AAUCUAGAACCAGCAGAAUCUGAAUAAGAAUGUAUUGCGGGCUUCCACUUUGUCCAGGAGAGAGGCUACUGAUUCUAAUGACCAGGAUCAAUACCUAUUAUCAGGACAGAGCACCUUGGAAAGCAGAGAAGACUAUGGAAACACCCCUCCCUCAUUCCCAUGUAGUCGUGCUAUCUUCAGAAGGGGUUACUUGGAUCCACUGGUCUAUCAGUUCAAGCCUCAAGAAGUUUUGCUACUUAAAUGCAAGUUUCUCCUGCCCAUCUAGACCUAAGACAUGCUUGGCUCUUCUUAAUCUGAUAUUGGAUCUAGACAAGUAAUCAACUCACAGAGUGGCUGAGAGAUUCACAGCAGCACCCUUUUUUUUUUUAAUUGUUUUCAAAUGUAAAAAUAAUAUGUAAUAUUGGGAGUAUUCAUAACAUUUAGCAGAAUAAAGAAAAGGGGUGCCUGG